rnacentral:rRNA from 1 species
ACUGCUCAGUAACACGUGGACAACCUGCCCUUAGGUUGGGUAUAAACCCGGGGAAACUGGGUAUAAUACCCGAUAGGUCUCGAUUGCUGGAAUGCAUCGAGAUUUAAAGCUCCGGCGCCUAAGGAUGGGUCUGCGGCCUAUCAGGUAGUAGUGGGUGUAGCGUACCUACUAGCCUACGACGGGUACGGGUUGUGAGAGCAAGAGCCCGGAGAUGGAUUCUGAGACACGAAUCCAGGCCCUACGGGGUGCAGCAGGCGCGAAAACUUUACAAUGCUGGCAACAGCGAUAAGGGAACCUCGAGUGCCAGGUUACAAAUCUGGCUGUCGAGAUGCCUAAAAAGCAUUUCAUAGCAAGGGCCGGGCAAGACCGGUGCCAGCCGCCGCGGUAACACCGGCGGCUCGAGUGGUAACCGUUAUUAUUGGGUCUAAAGGGUCUGUAGCCGGCCGGAUAAGUCUCUUGAGAAAUCUGGCAGCUUAACUGUCAGGCUCUCAGGAGAUACUGUCUGGCUCGAGGCCGGGAGAGGUGAGAGGUACUUCAGGGGUAGGGGUGAAAUCUUGUAAUCCUUGAAGGACCACCAGUGGCGAAGGCGUCUCACCAGAACGGACCUGACGGCAAGGGACGAAAGCUAGGGGCACGAACCGGAUUAGAUACCCGGGUAGUCCUAGCCGUAAACGAUACUCGCUAGGUGUCGGCCACGGUGCGACCGUUGUCGGUGUCGUAGGGAAGCCGUGAAGCGAGCCACCUGGGGAAGUACGGGCCGCAAGGCUGAAACUUAAAGGAAUUGGCGGGGGAGCAC